rnacentral:tRNA from 1 species
GGAGAUGUGGCUCAGAGGUGGAGCACUCGCCUAGUAAGCAUGAGGCAUUGGGUUCAAUCCUCAGCAUCACAU